UCGAGAAUCUUCCGCAAUGGGCGAAAGCCUGACGGAGCGACGCCGCGUGCGGGAUGAAGGCCUUCGGGUUGUAAACCGCUGUCGAAGGGGAGCAAAUUUGAGCGAUCCUUGGAGGAAGCACGGGCUAAAUUCGUGCCAGCAGCCGCGGUAAUACGAAUUGUGCGAACGUUAUUCGGAAUCACUGGGCUUAAAGGGUGCGUAGGCGGUCAUGUAGGUCUGAUGUGAAAUCCCACGGCUCAACCGUGGAACUGCGUUGGAAACCCCCAUGGCUGGAGUAGGACAGAGGUGAGCGGAACAGAUGGUGGAGCGGUGAAAUGCGUUGAUAUCAUCUGGAACACCGGUGGCGAAAGCGGCUCACUGGGUCCUAACUGACGCUGAUGCACGAAAGCCAGGGGAGCAAACGGGAUUAGAUACCCAAGUAGUCCCUGAGCGGGCUGGCAAGGCGCAU
rnacentral:rRNA from 1 species